AGAGUUUGAUCAUGGCUCAGAAUCAACGCUGGCGGCGCGCCUAACACAUGCAAGUCGAACGAGAAAGCAGGAGCAAUCUUGUGAGUAAAGUGGCGUACGGGUGAGUAACACGUGGAUCAUCUACCUUCUAGUGGGGGAUAACCCUGGGAAACCGGAGCUAAUACCGCAUAAGCUCGAGAGAGGAAAGCAGCAAUGCGCUGGAAGAGGAGUCCGCGGCCGAUUAUUGCUAGUUGGUAGGGUAAAAGCCUACCAAGGCUGCGAUCGGUAGCCGGCCUGAGAGGGCACACGGCCACACUGGCACUGAAACACGGGCCAGACUCCUACGGGAGGCAGCAGUGGGGAAUCUUGCACAAUGGGGGCAACCCUGAUGCAGCGACGCCGCGUGAGCGAUGAAGCCCUUCGGGGUGUAAAGCUCUUUCGGCAGGGAAGAUUAUGACGGUACCUGCAGAAGCAGCUGCGGCUAACUACGUGCCAGCAGCCGCGGUAAUACGUAGGCAGCAAGCGUUGUUCGGAGUUACUGGGCGUAAAGGGUGUGUAGGCGGUUCUCUAAGUCUGGUGUGAAAUCUCCCGGCUCAACUGGGAGGGUGCGCCGAAAACUGGAGGGCUAGAGUGCGGGAUGGGAGAGUGGAAUUCCUGGUGUAGCGGUGAAAUGCGUAGAUAUCAGGAGGAACACCUGUGGUGUAGACGGCUCUCUGGACCGCAACUGACGCUGAGACACGAAAGCGUGGGUAGCAAACAGGAUUAGAUACCCUAGUAGUCC
rnacentral:rRNA from 1 species